AACACAUGCCCCCCAGUUUCGGAGUAAAACAUAGUCUUUACUUCGAAAUUCUUUUCAACUUCCUUUCCGAAACAAACGCAUUAAAAAUAUCCUUCCGUUUCGCGGUCUUCAGCCUGAUGAUUGCAAUCUUUUCGAAACAGGCGCCCACGACAACCACUCCUCCCGAAAAAAUCGAAACGCCGGCGCGGUAAAAAUUCCGCUUUUACCCCUUCUCAGACCACCUUUAAAUAUCAGCACGUCCCGUACUCCCCUUACGAGCUCACGUCUUCCUUUUUUAGCGCACGGGCCUUCUUCUUCCUCCGGCACCUUCCUUAGUCCUCCAGUUUUCCCCGGCGUCUCCUUCCAUCCACAUUCCUUCCUACUUCUCCAAUAGCGGCACCUUCAGGCACUUCACCAACUCCCGAAGCUCCAGAGAUGGCCC
rnacentral:lncRNA from 1 species